rnacentral:piRNA from 1 species
UGAAAAUGUAAUUCAGUGCCACUGUUUGGU